UACGAAUUCAUAUAACCUCAAUGUGCUUAUAACUUGUAAGGAAACAAGAAAGAAAAAAUUAAAUGAAAUAUAUUAUUGAUGAAUUAUGUAAAGGCAUACCAUUUGUUUUAUUUAACUGUCUUCUCAGAAAUAUACAUUAAACAGAAAAACAGAGAUGAUGAUUGAUGUUAUGGAUUUUUUCAAUGUUACAAGUUAUACAUACUUUGGAAAAUAAUAAUUGUUCGGGAUGGUACAGGAUGGUAACAGUUGGUGUUUGGCAGUCGAUGCGAAUGCAUCUGGAUCAAGAAUAUUGUUAACGUAUUUGUUGAAGUUGUAUAAAUCCAAUUUCGCAUUAAUUUUAGUGCCAGUUUAUAGAAAAAUGAGAAUAAUGGAUACGUAUAUUGAAUAUAAAACAAAACAUAAUGAAAAUUACUGUUCCAAAGGAGCACUAAUGCAGUACAGGAUUUUAGUUGUUAAAGAAGGAAUAACAUAUAUUUAUUGAAAACAUUAUUGAUGUGUUUGAUCACCUGAAGGAAAUCUUGAAUGAACAUAAUUCUGAGUUUCAAAAAUGAUUUUAACAUAAAUCGGUUAAAUUAAGAGAUGAACCUAUCCUAAGUUUUAAACAUGUUCUAUUGAAAGAGAAUGAAAUGAUCUGAUUAUCAAAAGUAUCCGUGUUGUGGACUCUUUUGCUGCUGCAAAUAUAGAUCUCUUGGAAAGACACUGUUUCCGAAGGUAACAGAUUUAUCACUGUACUUCAAUGAUAAUGAGACAAGUUUUGAUACAUGUAGAAGAAAUAAUUUAGACCGCCUCUGAUAUAAACACCUUUAUGAGGGUUAACAAUAUUGUUAAUUUAACCAGCAAGCCUGAAUUCCAGGAGAUUUAAAAAAUUUAGAAAAUCCAGAUUUUUUCUGUCUGCAAUAGACUAUCCUGAGUAUUUUGAGUACAGAACCUCACAGUGGACCACCUCAACUGGAAGUAACCUUCGGAGUACGAAUAAGGAAGAUGAAAUAUCUGAGCAUGAAUAUUUUAGUCAUGUAAAAAGCGAAUUGCCUG